rnacentral:rRNA from 1 species
GUCUACAGUCAUGCCACUCUGAACAAGCCCGAUCCUGUCUGAUCUCAGAAGCUAAGCAGGGUCGGGCCUUGUUAGUACUUGGAUGGGAAACCACCUAGGAAGACCAGAUGCUGUAGGUG